UUUACGGGGGGAACGCGAAGAACCUUACCUGGUCUUGACAUCCACAGAACUUUCCAGAGAUGGAUUGGUGCCUUCGGGAACUGUGAGACAGGUGCUGCAUGGCUGUCGUCAGCUCGUGUUGUGAAAUGUUGGGUUAAGUCCCGCAACGAGCGCAACCCUUAUCCUUUGUUGCCAGCGGUCCGGCCGGGAACUCAAAGGAGACUGCCAGUGAUAAACUGGAGGAAGGUGGGGAUGACGUCAAGUCAUCAUGGCCCUUACGACCAGGGCUACACACGUGCUACAAUGGCAUAUACAAAGAGAAGCGACCUCGCGAGAGCAAGCGGACCUCAUAAAGUAUGUCGUAGUCCGGAUUGGAGUCUGCAACUCGACUCCAUGAAGUCGGAAUCGCUAGUAAUCGAGAUCGA
rnacentral:rRNA from 1 species